rnacentral:tRNA from 1 species
AAAAAGAUAAGCUAAUAAAGCUACUGGGCCCAUAACCCACUUAUAGAGGUAUUAAUCCUCUUCUUUUUA